rnacentral:lncRNA from 1 species
GAUUGACGCGGGGGUUGGACAGCACCAAGGAGACCGAGCACCGGGUCGCCGUGCCCUCUGGGGCGGUUCUGAGGUUCUACUGGUCCCUGCUUCUGUCUCCUUUUUCGUUUCCUUUCUUCACUCCUUGGGUGCGAUCCCUGAGACCCCUGAUCCCACCUUUUCCGCACAGUUUGAUACCAGGGGAACCAGGCAUGUGACCCUGCAGCAGGGGCUCGCGUUAAGUUUUGCAAAUUUGGAAAUGAAGCACGUGGAGCCUCUCUAUUGGAGACAAGGGGGCGCGGACAGCAGCCGGUGAAGUCGGAGGUGCGGCCCCAGGAGCCAAGCGGGAGCAUCCCUUUGGCCCCCUAAGCCCCAUCCAGCAACGACUUGGCUCAUUCAGCAUUUAUUGGGCUCCAGGGGCUGGGAUCAGAGACGAUCGAGACGCUGUCCCUGCUGGCUGUCAUCCAUUCAACUAGCCCGGACGCCGCGCCGAGAGCUCCCCAAACUGGGGAACCGGUGUGUGGGGCUGUGGAGGCACCUGAGGGAACUCGGCUCAGGCAGAAGCUGCUAAAGGUUUUCUGGAGUAAGGAACCUACAGGAUCGUGUUUACCUUGCUAAGAAACUUGAGCUUUAUUCUGAGAGCGGUGGAGAGCCCCCAAAGGUUUCUUAAAAGGGUGGACUAAGAGUUUUGCAUUUUACAAGACAACUUUCCAAAUUGAAAAGCUAAUGAGAGCUGGUUAGCAACCCUUGAAAUUCACAGAUUGGUAAUUUAACCCAGUUGGCCUGAGAUCGGGGGUCCAGGCUAUUCUUGAUCACAUUUGGAGCGAAUUUUAAGUGAUACAGACAGUUCUUCUUGUAGGACUUUUGGCAGUCUGUUAAAAUUGUGUUUAUUUCCCUUCUUGCUUGAAAGCCAUGUGGCUUUACCAAGAGGCAUGUACUUGGUGUUCAUUACAGCACUGUCCACUUUGUUAUGAUAUUUAAAAACUGAAAACAUAACUACUCAUGAAUUUGCAAACUGACUAGCGGUAAUAUACCCAUAAUAUAGACUACUGUACAGCAGUUUAAAAGAGAAUGAGAAAAAACUAGAAGAGAAUGAGGUCAAACUAUACUGAUAUGAGCUGAUCUCCAGUUGUUAAUUGGAUUAACUGACAAAAAUCAAGUUGAACAAAAUAUACAAUGAGUUCCAAUUUAUGUUAAAAAUGAAAAACCAGAACUCUUGAUUUCCAUAUGCUUAAAUAGGUAUGUAAGUGUG